GGUCUCGUAGUGUAGCGGUUAUCACGUCGCCCUGUCACGGCGAAGAUCACGGGUUCGAAUCCCGUCGGGACCG
rnacentral:tRNA from 1 species